GUCUGUGUUGCAGAGCCUUUGAUGGGAGAAAAAAUUCAACGCCUUGGACUGAAUCUUGCAUCAGACCCAAUGUGAUCCUUUCUCCAUCAAACCCAUGUAAUUUUCGUUUUAUGGAGGAUUUGUUUUCUUCCAUGUAUGAGGUUAUGGAUUUGUGCUUCAAAAUAAGAACUCUGGUCAUGAUGAAUCCAAUUGGAGUUUUCGGGCUUGUUAGUGGAGAACUGAG